rnacentral:rRNA from 1 species
GAUGAACGCUAGCUAUAGGCUUAACACAUGCAAGUCGAGGGGAAACGGCAUUAUGUGCUUGCACAUUUUGGACGUCGACCGGCGCACGGGUGAGUAUCGCGUAUCCAACCUGCCCUUUACUUGGGGAUACCCCGUUGAAAGACGGCCUAAUACCCGAUGUAAUUCAUUGAUGGCAUCAGAUAUGAAUAAAAGAUUUAUCGGUAAAGGAUGGGGAUGCGUCUGAUUAGCUUGUUGGUGAGGUAACGGCUCACCAAGGCGACGAUCAGUAGGGGUUCUGAGAGGAAGGUCCCCAACAUUGGAACUGAGACACGGUCCAAACUCCUACGGGAGGCAGCAGUGAGGAAUAUUGGUCAAUGGGCGCAAGCCUGAACCAGCCAAGUAGCGUGCAGGAAGACGGCCCUAUGGGUUGUAAACUGCUUUUAUACGAGAAUAAUUUGAUGCACGUGUGCGUUAUUGCAUGUAUCGUAUGAAUAAGGACCGGCUAAUUCCGUG